UGAGUCGCGUUGUUUGAGAAUGCAGCGCAAAGUAGGUGGUAAAUUCCAUCUAAAGCUAAAUAUUGGUGCGAGACCGAUAGCAAACAAGUACCGUGAGGGAAAGAUGAAAAGAACUUUGAAAAUAGAGUUAAAGAGUACCUGAAACUGCUGAAAGGGAACCAAAUCGUUUCCAGUGUCUAUAAUCCGUGGUAUAUUUCAUUGGCGAUUGUAUGCGUGCGUGUGCUGUUGCAGUGACCUUUUGGUUGCGCUCGGCGCGUGUGUUGUGUAUGCUUGUUGGUGCCCUGUGCUGCGGUGGGACGUCAAGGUCAGUUCGUAUGCUGCGGGAAAUGGCUACCGAGGAGGUAGGGCUUACGCUUGCGUUUGUCUGUUAUAUCUUGGUAGACGAGUAGCCGCGGUUGGGACUGAGGUGCCUACAACGUGCUUUUGAGUGGGCUUGGGUCUCCGUGUGCGCUGUGUGCGGAUAGCUUGCUAUGCGUGUGCGGUUGUGUGUGGAU
rnacentral:rRNA from 1 species